CCCUUAGAUGUCCUGGGCCGCACGCGCGCUACACUGAUGCAUUCAACGAGUUGGUACCUUAGCCGAGAGGCCUGGGCAAUCUUUUGAACGUGCAUCGUGAUAGGGAUAGAUUAUUGAAUUUUUUAAUCUUGAACGAGGAAUUCCUAGUAAACGCAGAUCAUCAAUCUGCAUUGAUUACGUCCCUGCCCUUUGUACACACCGCCCGUCGCACCUACCGAUUGAAUGGUCCGGUGAGAUCUCGGGACGGCGGCUUGGUCGCUUGCGUCCGACUGCUGAAACUUGAUUAAACCAUAUCAUUUAGAGGAAGGUGAAGUCGUAACA
rnacentral:rRNA from 1 species